GUGAGAAUGUUGGCAUGAGUAGCGAGAUGUGGGUGAGAAUCCCACAGGCCGUAAACCCAAGGUUUCCAGGGGAAGGUUCGUCCGCCAUGGGUUAGUCGGGACCUAAGCUGAGGCCGAAAGGCGUAGGGGAUGGACAACAGGUUGAUAUUCCUGUACUACCGAUAACCGUUUGAGAGAAGGGAUGACACAGUAGGAUAAGCUAAGCACACUGUUG
rnacentral:rRNA from 1 species